CUACAUAACCUCACUUCUACAUGCAAUGCAGAAAAUGCAAUUUCUCAACACGUAGUAUAUUUAAGAGGUUUAAUAUUUCUGAAUAUAAGCAUAUUAUGAAUGUAGAGACAAAAUGAUGAAUGUCCGGGAGCAACCAAAAAAAAAGACGAAAUUGAGUUAGAAAUUGCGGGAGAUACGUAGAAAUUGGAUGAAUUGUUUCAGACUGAUAAUAAUGUUUAUUUGUCAGGAAGAGAAGACGUAAAAAAACAUGUAUGCAAUUUUGAAGAAAUUAUUAAUAAUGAACCAAAUUGUUUUCAAGUUUUCAGGGCAAGGAAAAAAAUAAGCUCUCUUUUAGUGAACUCACAAUUAACAAGGCUACAGUAUGUAAAGUUAUGUGAUUUCUUAAAAAUUACGAACUUUGUAAGUUAAUUUAAUUGUAGGUACCACACGGAAACGUCACAAAAAUGCCACAACUACUGAAAUUUAAAAAAUUUUAGGACCGCAUUAAGCGCAGACAAAAGCAAGAAUGAA